AUUGAACGCUGGCGGCGUGCUUAACACAUGCAAGUCGUGCGGUAACAGGCGUAGCAAUACGUGCUGACGAGCGGCGAACGGGUGCGUAAUACAUGGGAAUCUGCCCUUUAGUGGGGAAUAACCCGGCGAAAGCCGGGCUAAUGCCGCAUAAGAUCUUCGGAUGAAAGCGGGGGAUCGUAAGACCUCGCGCUGAUGGAUGAGCCCAUGUCGGAUUAGCUAGNGGUGAGGUAACGGCUCACCAAGGCGACGAUCCGUAGCUGGUCUGGAGAGGACGGCCAGCCACACUGGGACUGAGACACGGCCCAGACUCCUACGGGAGGCAGCAGUGGGGAAUAUUGGACAAUGGGCGAAAGCCUGAUCCAGCGACGCCGCGUGUGUGAAGAAGGCCU
rnacentral:rRNA from 1 species